rnacentral:rRNA from 1 species
UCUGGGAAACUGCCUGAUGGAGGGGGAUAACUACUGGAAACGGUAGCUAAUACCGCAUAACGUCGCAAGACCAAAGAGGGGGACCUUCGGGCCUCUUGCCAUCGGAUGUGCCCAGAUGGGAUUAGCUAGUAGGUGGGGUAACGGCUCACCUAGGCGACGAUCCCUAGCUGGUCUGAGAGGAUGACCAGCCACACUGGAACUGAGACACGGUCCAGACUCCUACGGGAGGCAGCAGUGGGGAAUAUUGCACAAUGGGCGCAAGCCUGAUGCAGCCAUGCCGCGUGUAUGAAGAAGGCCUUCGGGUUGUAAAGUACUUUCAGCGGGGAGGAA